GAAAUUGAAAGGUGAAGGCCACAAAACAGGUGUCUGACGUUUCAGUUAUCUCCACAAACCGGAAUACUAUUUUGGGAAGACAGAAUUGGCCCUAAUGCGAGUGAUGACUUUGACAGCAAAAAUCUCCAGGCGUCCUUUUUCUUCGUGAGUCGUCUUAGCCUCAGUGGUCAGGUGUACUGGGUCAUACCUUAGGGAGACAUUGGGCGAGAAUUUGGUAAAAGGAGAACAUCAGAAAGCUAAGGAUCCUCAUUAAUGUGCGAAGUUCAAGAGAUUACUCAGGAAGAUAAUGGAAUGUAUAAUAAGAAGUGCAUGUGGUUCUGCCUUGUUGUGUGAAGUGAAAAGAAAAUGGGAAGAAAGAAAAGGAAAAUUCAACACAUACUAAUGAGCAGAAGAAUCCUGUAAGGUGUGGGAAGUGGGCAAAGGGGAGGCAAUGCACUGAUG